CCAAUUCAGCUCUUGCAGGGCCAGUGUGGGGAGUACACCCCAUCACAGACCCAAAAAGAUGGUGAACUAUGCCUGAGCAGCAUGAAGCCAGAGGAAGCUCUCGUGGAGGUCUGUAGUAGUCCUGACGUACAAAUCAGUCAUCCAACCUGGGCAUAGGGGGCGAAAGACUAAUUGAACCAUCUAGUAGCUGGUUCCCUCUGAAGUUUCCCUCAGGAUAGCUGGCACUCAUCCAUAUCUGCAGUUUUAUCUGGUAAAGUGAAUGAAUAGAGGUCUGGGGGCAGAAACAAUCUCAACCUAUGCUCAAACUUUAAAUGGGUAAGAAGCCUGGCUCACUGGCAUGAAGCUGGAUGUGAAAUGGGAGUGCCUCGUGGGCCACUUCUGGUAAGCAGAACUGGCACUGUGGGGUGAACCGAAUGCCGGGUUAAGGUGUUGGUUGAUACAGAGAGCAGGAUGGUGGGCAUGGAAGUUCGACCCUGCUAAAGAAUGUAUAACAACUCCCCUAGCCCCAAAAUCAACUAGCCCUGAAAACAGAAGGCACUGGAGCAUUGGGCCUAUACCCAGCCGUUGCUGGCAAUGAGAGCUGUGGGGACUAUGCUGCGACAAGUUGGCGAGCUGCUUCAGCGGGCCUUGAAGCUUAGGCCAUGGGCCUGGGUGGAACUGCUGCAGGUGCAGAUCUUGGUGGUAGUAGCAAAUAUUCAAAGGAGAACUUUGAAGGGUUCCAUGUAAACAGCAGUUGAACGUGGUCAGUCAGUCCUAAGAGAUAGGUGAGUGCCAUUCGGAAGAGAUGGGCGAUGGCCUCUGUUGCCCUCAGCCAAUAGAAAGGGAAUCAGGUUCAGAUCCCUGAAUGCAGAGGAGCAGAGAUGGUUGCCAUGAGACAUCCAGUGUGGUAACUCAACCAAUCCCGGUGAGGCUUGUGGGAGACAUAGGGAGAGUUCUCUUUUCUUUGUGAUGGCAGGGCGCCUUGGAAUGGGUUCACCCUGAGAGAGGGGCCGGAGCCUUGGAAUGCAUCAUGUUUCUGGUGGCAUCACAUGAGCUCUCAUUGGGGGAGAUGGUGUAAAUCUCGUGCCGGGCCGUACCCAUACUCACAGCAGGUCUCCAAAGUGAACAGCCUCUAGCAUAUUAGAACAACAUAAGUGAGGGAAGUUGGCAAACUGGAUUUGUAACUUUGGGAUAAGGCUCGACUCUUAGGGUUGGGUCAGCCAGGCUGGGGCACAAAGCAGGGCUAGGUGUGAGCCACGGCUAGAUGAGGCACCGCCCUCUCCUGGGCGGGGGGAGGGGAAGCUGGCAACUCUGGAUGUAAGCCGAGCCCCUCCUGUGGAUUGCCCCAGCUGCAGUGGGCAUCACACACAUCUCUCCUUCCAUGGGGACAGGAGUGGAGGUGGCACUCUGCCUCAGGCAGCACCUAGCAUUGACUUAGAACUGGUGUGGACUGGGGAAUCCUACCGUUCAAUUAAAACAAAGUGCUAUGAAGGCCCGCUGUGGGUGUUGAUGCUAGGUGAUUUCUGUCCUGUGCGCUGCAUGUCAGAGUGAAGAAUCAGCGAAUCACAGUAAACAGCAGGAGUAACAGCAGGACCCUCCUAAGGGUUCUCCUUAUGCUGAGUUAGAUGCUUGAGGUUGUAAGAAGUGACUUCCAGGAGGGAUGGGGGCUGUCUCCUCUUGUGGCUGGGAUAUUGGUGGUCCAGCUGGUUAAGUUGGCUGCACCUCCCUUCUUGAGGUCUGCAGAUUCCUUCAGUUGAGUCCUGAGCCUCUUAGGGUAAGAAGAAAAUGUUCUCCACUGAUUCUCUUAAUGGGAUCUAGUUACCAGGGCAGCACUAUAGAGACCUCAGCCUCCCUGGGUUGCCCACCGGUAACACUUUCUUUUGUGGAGGAGAACAAGCUGCCCUCUCCUGCAGAGUUGUGAUAAGCAUUAAACCCUAUAGUUGAGACCACACAAACCUGUGUGAUAAGGCCAUGAAAAGCUGCCCUAUGACCACUGGGUUAAGAACACCAGGGGUUCUUGUCUACAUUGUCUCUUUGUCCACUCUGGCAUAGUCUGAAGCCUUGGGAUUCACUGCCUGAAGCACUAAGAACUGCCACUUAAAGUUGCUGGGAUGGUGGACCCCACAAGAGCAGAGCCCACUCUUCUGUACACUCCCCAAGACUGUCCAAAGUGAAGUCUGAGGUGAUGAUGAGGUGCUUGAACCGCUGUGUUCAGGGCUGUGGAGACUUGAUGACAUGACAGGGUGAGUGAAGUCUCUUCGGCUGGCCCAAUAGUGGCUCUCUGUGAACUGUUACUGAGGAGGACUCUGAAGAUACGAUAUCCUUGAGUGUGAUGCCAGAACUGGAGGUUGGUUUAUGAAGUCACUAGCUGAAUCUGGAAUAGAGAACUGGGCUGGGAGUCACCAGACCAGUGAAUGCUUUGUGCUGUUGGCUUAGGAAGGUUCUGAAAAUACUGAUUCCAUGAGGUUAUUUGCCUCAUAUGAUGUCCUACUUCUUUUCUCCAGGCUCCCAUUUUCUACAGAAUCUCGUGAUGAUCACAACAGAUCAUGAGUGCUCACAUGGCUGUACAAUAUGGGAGAUGGGCCACCUGGGGAGAUGGGACCCAAAAUAACCCCCCAAAAUAGCCAAAUGCCUCAUCAUCUAAUUAGUGAUGCACAAGAAUGGAUGACUGAGAGUCCUGCUGUCCCUACCUCCUCUCUAGUGAAACCAAAGCCUAGGGAAUGACAGUGGCAAAAUCAGUGGGAAAAGAAGGCCAUGUUGAGCUUGACUGUAGUUUGGCACUGUGAAGAGACAUGAAAGGUGUAGAAAAAAUGGGGAACCUCCAAGCUGCUGGUGAAGUAUCAGCACUCUUACGGAUUUUUCAUUUGCCUGGAGCACUGCCAGAAGGAAGCUGACUUUUACCCGGAGUGCAACUCAUGUUUGUGGGGAAGCUGGUGCUAAAGAUUACCUAGUUCUUGAUCAAGGUUUCACGCGUAGCAAAGCAGCUACCUUGCUACCACCUACUGAAAGUCAGCCCUUGACCCAAGACUCUGUCUCUUUCCCCAACAGCUCUGCUCCAGGGCGAACCUUCAGUGGGAUAUCAAAGGUGCCCUCAGCGCAGGGUGGAGGUUGGUUCCCUCCUGGGGCAGAAGGGCAGGGUGACCCUCUCCAGCCACCUCCUUUGCUCCUAUCUGCGCCUGGAGGCCCACAGGGACUUGGGCCCAGGCAGGAUGGCCCUCGCUGGCUCUCUCAGGAACCAGGCCCAUUACACCCAAUUGGUUGACCUGGUGGCCGCAAUUCUUUCCAGCCAGGCUGUCUCUCAAAGUGAACCCCAGUGGGGAUCCUCCCCCCUGCCACGAGAAGCCACAGAGGAAGGCUUAAUAGUUGAGCCGCAGGAGAACAUGGGCGGCUCAAUAGUCGGCCCCUAAUGGGUAACUUGUGGCCCUUGAGUGACACUGCACUAGGGUUGCCAGGUGUUUGCUUUUCCACCUGAAAAAAGAAAAGGAGGACUUGUGGCACCUUAGAGACUAAAUUGGUUAGUCUCUGAGGUGCCACAAGUCCUCCUUUUCUUUUUUCAGGUGGAAAAGCAAACACCUGGCAACCCUAGUGCAGUGUCACUCAAUGGCCACAAGUUACCCAUUAGGGGCCGACUAUUGAGCCGCCCAUGUUCUCCUGCGGCUCAACUAUUAAGCCUUCCUCUGUGGCUUCUCGUGGCAGGGAGGAGGAUCCCCACUGGGGUUCACUUUGAGAGACAGCCUGGCUGGAAAGAAUUGCGGCCACCAGGUCAACCAAUUGGGUGUAAUGGGCCCGGUUCCUGGAGGGGCCAGCGAC
rnacentral:ncRNA from 1 species